UAUAUAUAUAGUUAUAUAUAAUUAAUACAUACUACAACUGUGAGAAAUAAAAAGUUCAAUCGUCCAUUUUUAGAAUAUAGUACUUAGCCUUAAUUGGGAUGUAAGAUCCAAUUGUAGUCAUUUUGAGAUCCAAUUGUUACAAUUUUAACUAUAGCCCUUCCCUUGGCCUGCCCCAAUUUUAAAACUGACCAAAAGCAUAGAUUGUAACCCUGAGCUCCUCCUAUCAGACCAAGGGGCAGUGCUGUGUUAGGAAUUAAAACAGGUAGACUUCCUGCCCAAGUGUGCUUGCUUGCCAGACUUUUGUAGCACCCCCUUCUGCAUAUGUAAAGUUUGCCUUGCCAAGAUACUUCCAAGCAUGUUUGAUUCCUUGUGGCAACCCAGUAUUUCUUUUUUUCAAAUAUUUUAUUAGUUAUUGAUGGAUCUUUAUUUAUUUAUUUGCUUAUAUGUGGUGCUGAAACUCAAACCCAGUGCCUCAUACAUGCUAGGCAAGCACUCUACCACUGAGCCACAACCCAGCCCCGAAAACCAGUAUUUCUAAAAAUUUAGGCAACAAACGUGGGGGCUCCAUAUGUCACCUAGGAGGUUGUGGGGACUCCCUGCUUAGAGGAGACACGUCCUGCUGCCUUGUGACAGCUUCAGAGCAGGUAAGGAAAUCUCAGAUCCCUGAGGCCAAUAACAGACCCAAAAUUCAAAAGUGGAUCUGCAGUGCAGGAAAAGGGCCCUAAUAACCACCAUAGCAAUCAGGUAACUUCAUGCUUAGACCAAGGUAGGAAAAUUUAUUCUUAAGAAAGUACUUCCUUCGUGGUCAAGACAUCCCAGAAGUUGUGUGAGUGUGACUGAGAACCUCUAUUCAGAAAUAGGAAAUCAUACUCAGGAAAGCAGGAUAAGGUGGGGGCAGGUGCAAGAAAUCCCCAGUGAGGAGAACUGAACAUGGGCUAUAAAGAAACCUCCAAUAGGGGGGUUGAGUACAUAAGGGGAAACUCAAUUAUAGGAACCUACAAAAAAAAUGGGGAAUAAAAAUUUGAGACCUAGAGACUGGGAGGGACAAUGGAAAGAUCUAAUAUGUACAAGUCUUCUUUUCCUUUGAAGAUUUCUAAGCAGGGAAAAUAAACAGUGGUAAUGCUGAGAGUAAAUCUGCCCCAUGGAGGAUGAGCAACCACGUGAAUCUUUGAUUUCAGUGUCCUCCACUGCUGACAGACUCUAUUCCUAAUGUUCCCAAUUGCACAGGCCCUUUUCCUGUCUGGUCCAUAUUGUAAAAAUCUAUUUUAAUUUCUAAAGUGUUAAAUCUGAUAGUUCUUUUGACUCAUACCUGUAGGGAUUUAACAGCUACCAAAUCUUUGUUUCCUGUUUGUUUCAUGUGUACUUGUGCAUAUUUGUAUCAUGUCUAUGUAUGUGCUUGUGUCUAUAAUCAUGUACAUGGUCUCAGAAUUGGCUUAUAAAUAAAUGAGUACUCAUAAAUUUAAGAAUGGAUUCAAAUGCCUUUCAGUUCAUAUGACUUAAACAAAACUAACAAAAAUGGUCGAUCUAAACUAGUAAGAAAAAAGAUGCCUUUGAAA
rnacentral:lncRNA from 1 species